rnacentral:rRNA from 1 species
CCUACGGGAGGCAGCAGUGGGGAAUUUUGGACAUUGGGCGCACGCCUGAUCCAGCCAUGCCGCGUGAGUGAAGAAGGCCUUCGGGUUGUAAAGCUCUUUCGGUGGGGAAGAAAUGGCACGGGUCAAUACCCUGUGUCGAUGACCGUACCCGACUAAGAAGCACCGGCUAACUACGUGCCAGCAGCCGCGGUAAUACGUAGGGUGCGAGCGUUAAUCGGAAUUACUGGGCGUAAAGCGUGCGCAGGCGGUUUGGUAAGUCAGAUGUGAAAUCCCCGGGCUCAACCUGGGAACUGCAUUUGAGACUGCCCAACUGGAGUUUGGCAGAGGGGGGUGGAAUUCCACGUGUAGCAGUGAAAUGCGUAGAGAUGUGGAGGAACACCGAUGGCGAAGGCAGCCCCCUGGGCCAAUACUGACGCUCAUGCACGAAAGCGUGGGGAGCAAACAGGAUUAGAUACCCUGGUAGUCCACGCCCUAAACGAUGUCAACUAGGUGUUGGGAGGGUUAAACCUUUUAGUGCCGUAGCUAACGCGUGAAGUUGACCGCCUGGGGAGUACGGCCGCAAGGCUAAAACUCAAAGGAAUUGACGG